rnacentral:rRNA from 1 species
GACGAACGCUGGCGGCGUGCUUAACACAUGCAAGUCGAACGGAAAGGCCCUGCUUUUGUGGGGUGCUCGAGUGGCGAACGGGUGAGUAACACGUGAGUAACCUGCCCUUGACUUUGGGAUAACUUCAGGAAACUGGGGCUAAUACCGGAUAGGAGCUCCUGCUGCACGGUGGGGGUUGGAAAGUUUCGGCGGUUGGGGAUGGACUCGCGGCUUAUCAGCUUGUUGGUGGGGUAGUGGCUUACCAAGGCCUUGACGGGUAGCAGGCCUGAGAGGGUGACCGGCCACAUUGGGACUGAAAUACGGCCCAGACUCCUACGAGGGGCAGCAGCGGGGAAUAUUGAACACUGGGCGGACAACUGCUGCAGAAACGCCGCGUGCGGGAUCAUGGCCUUCUGGUUGUAAACCGCUUUCAACCGCAACGAAGCGUGCGUGACGGUAAUUGGUAAAGAAGCACCGGCUAACUACGUG